rnacentral:misc_RNA from 1 species
GAAUUACUCUCAACCCUAACUUUGGUUUUGGUUGGAUCUGGGGGUCUGCCGUGUUUUCAUGGCUCCUCCUAAAUGUGUUAGCUCAUUGGUUGUGGCCGUUGUCAGCUUGAUAUCAAGUCUAUGCUUCAUCGGUUCAUGUUCCAGAGCUUAUAAUCGUCUUCGGACAAUUAUUCUGAC